UCUUCCACAUGGCGUAGAACGCUCAUCUUUUGACAGAAUCCUUCUUUUAAUUUCCAGAAAAUAACUUGUUACACGGUGC